UACGAAGGGGGCUAGCGUUGUUCGGAAUUACUGGGCGUAAAGCGCGCGCAGGCGGUCUUGCAAGUCAGUGGUGAAAGCCCGGAGCUCAACUCCGGAACUGCCAUUGAAACUGUAAGACUUGAGGAUGAGAGAGGUGAGUGGAAUUCCCAGUGUAGAGGUGAAAUUCGUAGAUAUUGGGAAGAACACCGGUGGCGAAGGCGGCUCACUGGCUCAUAUCUGACGCUCAGGCGCGACAGCGUGGGGAUCAAACAGG
rnacentral:rRNA from 1 species